rnacentral:lncRNA from 1 species
GUACUAAAUGUCAUAACAAAUUUACUACUGCUGCAGAACUGUAUCAACACAUUAUAGAUUGCUCAUCAACAACGAUUUCCCCAUUUUCAUCAGCAGUUACACCAACUAAGAACAGCAAGAUUUAUAACCUUCCCGUGCAAUCAAAUCCAGCGUUUUCAUCUUCUGCGCUUUCUGUUACUGUUUCAUCGGCCUCACCUUCGUCAAUUUCAACAUCCAUAUCAUCUCCAUCAUCUAUUUCAUCUUCUCUAUCAUCAUCGCCAUCAUCAAAUUCUAAAGCCGUGCCUUCAUUUCUUUCUACCUCAGCUCUUUCAUUAGGCUCAUCCAAGUUGAUCCCACAGUCUUCUACUUCAAUAUCUCCAAUAUCGCCAGCUCGAAAAGGGAAUUCUACCCGUACUGUGAAUAACAAUUUUUCGUCUCCGUCGUUCUUGAACUACAACACACGAUCUUCCAACAAAAGAAAACCUCAAGAGCCAGAAAAUACUACUAAAAGGCGAAAGAUUGCUAGAAAAUUAAAAAAUAG